UGCAUCUGCCGGGAAUCGAACCCGGCCCGGGUGGCAGGCGAGCAUUCUCGCCACUGAACAAUCGAUGC